rnacentral:rRNA from 1 species
AGAGCGAACGCUGGCGGCAGGCCUAACACAUGCAAGUCGAGCGCCGUAGCAAUACGGAGCGGCAGACGGGUGAGUAACGCGUGGGAACGUACCUUUCGGUUCGGAAUAACUCAGGGAAACUUGAGCUAAUACCGAAUACGUCCGUGAGGAGAAAGAUUUAUCGCCGAAAGAUCGGCCCGCGUAAGAUUAGCUAGUUGGUGAGGUAACGGCUCACCAAGGCUAUGAUCUUUAGCUGUUCUGAGAGGAAGACCAGCCACACUGGGACUGAGACACGGCCCAGACUCCUACGGGAGGCAGCAGUGGGGAAUAUUGGACAAUGGGCGCAAGCCUGAUCCAGCCAUGCCGCGUGAGUGAUGAAGGCCUUAGGGUUGUAAAGCUCUUUUACCAGGGAAGAUAAUGACUGUACCUGGAGAAUAAGCCCCGGCUAACUUCGUGCCAGCAGCCGC